GGCCCUGGUCAUUGACAUUUAGUUCCAUAAUAAACUGUCUCUUCAGGUUGACAGGUGCAAAAAACAAAUCCUCUUUUGCAACCCAGAACUCAUUGUUCAGUAUGAGUUUUGAUACAUACAAGAAGGAAUAUA
ensembl:snoRNA LOC120100462 small nucleolar RNA SNORA40